rnacentral:tRNA from 1 species
GGUGGAUGUAGCUCAGGUGGUUAGAGCGCUGGAUUGUGGUUCCAGAGGUCGUGGGUUCGAGUCCCAUCCUCCACCC